GGUCUGGUAAUUGGAAUGAGUACAAUUUAAAUCCCUUAACGAGGAUCCAUUGGAGGGCAAGACUGGUGCCAGCAGCCGCGGUAAUACCAGCUCCAAUAGCGUAUAUUAAAGUUGUUGCAGUUAAAAAGCUCGUAGUUGGAUAUCUGGCUUAGGCUGCCUAGUCUGCCGAGCCUCCUUCUUGGAGGUGAGGUGUGAACUGGGAUGUUCGCUUUUGCCAUCCUUCUAGGUGAGCCCUCGGGCGAACCUGGAUCUUUUACUUUGAAAAAAUUAGAGUGUUCAAAGCAGGCGGUAAUGCUGUGAAUACGUUAGCAUGGAAUAAUGAAAUAGGACUUUGGUUCUGUUUUGUUGGUUCAUAGGACUGAAGUAAUGAUUGAUAGGGAUAGUUGGGGGUGCUUGUAUUGAACGGCCAGAGGCGAAAUUCUUGGAUUCGUUCAAGACAAACUACUGCGAAAGCAUUCACCAAGGAUGUCUUCUUUAAUCAAGAACGAAAGUAGGGGGAUCGAAGACGAUCAGAUACCGUCGUAGUCCUAACCAUAAACGAUGCCGACUAAGGAUCGGUAGGUGUUGUUUUUAUGACCCUAUCGGCACUUUACGAGAAAUCAAAGUUUUUGGGUUCCGGGGGGAGUAUGGUCGCAAGGCUGAAACUUAAAGGAAUUGACGGAGGGGCACCACAAGGAGUGGAGCCUGCGGCUUAAUUUGACCCAACGCGGGGAAACUUACCAGGUCCGGACUCAGUUAGGAUUGACAGAUUGCAGAUCUUUCUUGAUUCUGAGGGUGGUGGUGCAUGGCCGUUCUUAGUUGGUGGAGUGAUUUGUCUGGUUAAUUCCGUUAACGAACGAGACCUCAGCCUGCUAAAUAGUCGAGUGUAUGAAUAAUAUUCAUACAUGUAAAAUCUUUUCGACUUCUUAGAGGGACUGUCUGUAUCUAGCAGAAGGAAGUGUGAGGCAAUAACAGGUCUGUGAUGCCCUUAGAUGUCCUGGGCCGCACGCGGGCUACAAUGUUGCAUGCAACCAGUUUAAGUAACCUCCUUGACCGAAAGGUCUGGGUAAUCUUUAAAAGUGCAACGUGCUUGGGAUAGACCAUUGCUAUUAUUGGUCUUCAACCAGGAAUUCCUAGUAAACGCGAGUCAUCAGCUCGCAUUGAUUACGUCCCUGCCCUUUGUACACACCGCCCGUCGCUCCUACCGAUUGAAUGAUCCGGCGAAAUCUUUGGACCGUUAGUUGUUGGCUGGUUUUCCAGCUCGCAGCUUCU
rnacentral:rRNA from 1 species